UACGUAGGGUGCAAGCGUUAAUCGGAAUUACUGGGCGUAAAGCGUGCGCAGGCGGUGAUGUAAGACAGGUGUGAAAUCCCCGGGCUUAACCUGGGAACUGCAUUUGUGACUGCAUCGCUGGAGUGCGGCAGAGGGGGAUGGAAUUCCGCGUGUAGCAGUGAAAUGCGUAGAUAUGCGGAGGACACCGAUGGCGAAGGCAAUCCCCUGGGCCGCACUGACGCUCAUGCACGAAAGCGUGGGGAGCAAACAGG
rnacentral:rRNA from 1 species